AUGCAAGCCGAGCGGUAUGGAUAGCUUGCUAUCCAGAGAGCGGCGCACGGGUGCGUAACACGUGUGCAACCUACCUUUAUCUGGGGGAUAGCCUUUCGAAAGGAAGAUUAAUACCCCAUAAUAUAAUUGAUGGCAUCAUUGAUUAUUGAAAACUCCGGUGGAUAGAGAUGGGCACGCGCAAGAUUAGAUAGUUGGUGAGGUAACGGCUCACCAAGUCUGUGAUCUUUAGGGGUCCUGAGAGGGAGAUCCCCCACACUGGUACUGAGACACGGACCAGACUCCUACGGGAGGCAGCAGUGAGGAAUAUUGGACAAUGGGUGAGAGCCUGAUCCAGCCAUCCCGCGUGAAGGAUGACGGUCCUAUGGAUUGUAAACUUCUUUUGUACAGGGAUAAACCUACCCUCGUGAGGGUAGCUGAAGGUACUGUACGAAUAAGCACCGGCUAACUCCGUGCCAGCAGCCGCGGUAAUACGGAGGGUGCAAGCGUUAUCCGGAUUUAUUGGGUUUAAAGGGUCCGUAGGCGGACCUGUAAGUCAGUGGUGAAAUCUCAUAGCUUAACUAUGAAACUGCCAUUGAUACUGCAGGUCUUGAGUAAAUUUGAAGUGGCUGGAAUAAGUAGUGUAGCGGUGAAAUGCAUAGAUAUUACUUAGAACACCAAUUGCGAAGGCAGGUCACUAAGAUUUAACUUGACGCUGAUGGACGAAAGCGUGGGUACGAACAGGAUUANAUACCUGGUAGUCCACCCGUAAACGAUGCUAACUCGUUUUGGAUUUCGGA
rnacentral:rRNA from 1 species